AAGAAGAGGAGGAGGCCAAGGAAGAAGAGGAGGAGGCCAACAAGGGAGAGGAGAAGGUCCAGGAGGGAGAGCAAGACAACCUCGCACCAUCAUUACGGACGAGAUGCGAGCAACAGUCAUUGACCAUGUCAUUGUCCAUGGCAUGACAAUGGCUGAAGCAGGACUAAGAGUCCGUCCAAACCUGAGUAGGUUCACCGUGGCCACCAUUAUCAGGGCAUUCACACAACACAACAGAGUUGAAAGAAUGCCACAUAGAGGUGGGAGGGUUGCCAUAUUUACAGCGGCACAAGAAACCCUCAUUGUGGAUAUGGUUCGUGAGAACAACCUCAUCAGACUCCGGGAGAUGAGAGACAAAGUCAUUGCCGAUAAUGUGAACUGAUGCAGCUCAGCGACAUGAUGCCGCACAGUGAUUGUGGUGUAAAUAAAAUAAAUUAAAAAAACUUCACACCCUGA